UGGUUGAACUGAAGCCACAAAAUUAGCAUUUUACUAAUCAUUAGAUUUAAAUAGCUGUGUAGAAAGAGAUCAGCCAUCAUCCUGAUCAGCAAUCCAGCUUGCUUCCUCUUCCCAUUCUUGGGUUCAAGGCCUGGGAAAUCAUGAAGCUUCUUAUCCUUACCUGCCUUGUAGUGGCUGCUCUUGCCAGGCCUAAAUUUUCUGGUAGUAGACACCCAGAACUCAUUCAAAAUGAACCAGACAGCAGAGAGGAAACCCUCAAAGAAAGACAGUUUUCCAGGUUUGUUCUGGUGAGUGUUAUCCACUUAUUCUUAAAAUGCAAACAUAUUUUUCCAAGAAAAUUAAUUUAAAUUUAGCUUAUAAAUGUUUUUUCACUCAACUUGAUUAAACUUUCCCUUCAUUCAGUCACCCAGGCACCCACAAAGAAUAUUGAAAACACAUAUGCAAAUAUUAAAGAGCUGCUUUAAAUUCGAAUUUUGUACUUUUGCCUUUUUGCACAACACUUGUGCUUUCCUUUGCAUAAUCUAUGUAGAACAAACAACUUCCAUGCUCAUUAAGAUGGAAUGUUCUCUAUCUCUAAAUAAUAACCCAUAUAUGUUGUGUAAUUUUGUGACUUUAUUGUCAAAUAGAACACAAAUAGGAAUUUCACUUCAAGGACACUAUUUCAAAGAUUUGGGGCAACCCAAUUUUGCCUGAAUGAUUUUUAAUAUCUUUCUUUCUUUCUUCCUUUUUUUUUUGUAGCCUACAGGAAGAGAAUUAAAAGAGGUAAGAAAGUCUCAAGAUUACUAUAGGGUGAACAAAGGGAGGCAAGUGUAGUGCUUGCUCAGUCAGUGUUGUGCUGUCCAAUUCUUUAUUGUCUUUUUACGGAAAAAGCCACUAGAUGUAUUGAACCAAACAGAUGAGAUCCAGAGAACUCAGAACGAUGACUAAAACAAAAUGAAAGAUAAUAAUAAUAAUAAAAUUUAGUGGAAAAAAAUUUUUUAAUAUUCUAAGUGGACAUUUACAUAUAGUUUAAGCAAAGAAAGCUUAGUGAAGAGACAACGUUAGAAAUGAUAGAGCAAGCAAUAUUAGUGCAUUCAAGAAAAAUAUAUUUGUUUUUUAACUUGGAGCAGCACAGUGUAAGGCAAACUAUCUCAUAAAUUUUCAUUCCUUUAUGUCUCUCUUCACUAAUGUUGUUUUUCUGCUCUAUUCCUAAGGAAUACCACAAUGAAAUGAACAGGGUAAGGAACACCAACGAUAUUUAAAUUAUUUUAAAAUUUGUCUUUUCAAAAGUAUAUUUUACAAGCUAUACUGUAUUCUUUUUAGCAGAGAGAACUUCUGAGAGAAAAACAAGAAAAACAGAGUGAUGAAAUCAAGGUACCAAAAAUUUUCUUAAAAUACUAUGGCAAAAAAAAUGUAUUCUUGCACUAAAAGAAGUGUUUUAAUUUAGAAAACAUAUUUUUUCUGUGGCAUUUAUAAUUUCCUUGAACUUUUCAGACAUUCAAAUGGCCAGUGAAUUCUGUUGAGAGUUCUAAAGAAUACUGAUUUCAUUGACUUAACUUUGUAGCUAUGAGGAGAUAAGGCAUUAAAAUGAAUGAAUGAAUGAAUGAAAUUAUGGAUUGGCCAAUUGUUUGCAUUUAUCACCAAAGUUGAUGGAAUGCUU